AUUGAACGCUGGCGGCAGGCCUAACACAUGCAAGUCGGGCGGAGCGGCGGACGGGUGAGUAAUGCCUAGGAAUCGGCCUGGUAGUGGGGGAUAACGUCCGGAAAUGGUCGCUAUUACCGCAAACUCUCACAUGAGCAUAGGUCGGAGUAGCUAGUUGGUGGGGUAAAGGCCUACCAAGGCGACGAUCCGUAACUGGUCUGAGAGGAUGAUCAGCAACACUGGAACGUAGACACGGUCCAGACUCCUACGGGAGGCAGCAGUGGGGAAUAUUGGACAAUGGGCGCAAGCCUGAUCCAGCCAUGCCGCGUGUGUGAAGAAGGUCUUCGGAUUGUAAAGCACUUUAAGUUGGGAGGCGUUACCAACAGAAUAAGCACCGGCUAACUUCGUGCCAGCAGCCGCGGUAAUUC
rnacentral:rRNA from 1 species